rnacentral:rRNA from 1 species
CCCCAGCGCCACAAGUGGUUAUCACGAUUAUUGGGCCUAAAGCGUUCGUAGCCGGUUUGGUAAAUCUCUUGUGAUAUUGUUCGGCUUAACCGGACAGCGUGCAGGAGACACUGCCAGACUCGAGACCGGGAGGCGUAAGAAGUAUUCCAUGGGGACUGGUAAAAUGGGAUAAUCCAUGGAAGACUACCGAUGGCGAAGGCAUCUUACGAGAACGGAUCUGACGGUGAGGAACGAAAGCCAGGGGAGCGAACCGG